GUACACUCCUACGGGAGGCAGCAGUGGGGAAUAUUGCACAAUGGGCGCAAGCCUGAUGCAGCCAUGCCGCGUGUAUGAAGAAGGCCUUCGGGUUGUAAAGUACUUUCAGCGGGGAGGAAGGCAAUACGGUUAAUAACCGUGUUGAUUGACGUUACCCGCAGAAGAAGCACCGGCUAACUCCGUGCCAGCAGCCGCGGUAAUACGGAGGGUGCAAGCGUUAAUCGGAAUUACUGGGCGUAAAGCGCACGCAGGCGGUCUGUCAAGUCGGAUGUGAAAUCCCCGGGCUCAACCUGGGAACUGCAUUCGAAACUGGCAGGCUUGAGUCUUGUAGAGGGGGGUAGAAUUCCAGGUGUAGCGGUGAAAUGCGUAGAGAUCUGGAGGAAUACCGGUGGCGAAGGCGGCCCCCUGGACAAAGACUGACGCUCAGGUGCGAAAGCGUGGGGAGCAAACAGGAUUAGAAACCCGAGUAGUCCCAUGA
rnacentral:rRNA from 1 species